rnacentral:tRNA from 1 species
GGGGCCCUAGUAAAUCAUUACCUAGCACUGUCAGCGCUAAAUAAUAGGUGAAACACCUAUGGACCCCC